rnacentral:rRNA from 1 species
AGGCAGCAGUGGGGAAUAUUGGACAAUGGGCGCAAGCCUGAUCCAGCCAUGCCGCGUGAGUGACGAAGGUCUUCGGAUUGUAAAGCUCUUUUGGCGGGGACGAUAAUGACGGUACCCGCAGAAUAAGCCCCGGCUAACUUCGUGCCAGCAGCCGCGGUAAUACGAAGGGGGCUAGCGUUGUUCGGAAUCACUGGGCGUAAAGCGCACGUAGGCGGAUUUGUCAGUCAGGGGUGAAAUCCCGGGGCUCAACCUCGGAACUGCCCUUGAUACAGCAAAUCUAGAGUCCGGAAGAGGUGGGUGGAAUUCCUAGUGUAGAGGUGAAAUUCGUAGAUAUUAGGAAGAACACCAGUGGCGAAGGCGGCUCUCUAUGCUACUCCUGACGCUGAGGCACGAAAGCUAGGGGAGCAAACGGGAUUAGAUACCCCGGUAGUCCUAGCCUUAAACGAUGGGCACUAGAUAUUCCUGCAGUUUUGCGGGAGUGUCGAAGCUAACGCGUUAAGUGCCCCGCCUGGGGAGUACGGCCGCAAGGCUGAAACUCAAAGGAAUUGACGGGGGCCCGCACAAGCGGUGGAGCAUGUGGUUUAAUUCGAUGCUACGCGAAGAACCUUACCUGGGCUUGAACUGCUGGUGGUAGGAGCCCGAAAGGGCGACGACCCUGGUUCGCCAGGGAGCCAGCAGAGGUGCUGCAUGGCUGUCGUCAGCUCGUGUCGUGAGAUGUUGGGUUAAGUCCCGCAACGAGCGCAACCC